AUAUUUACCUGGCAGGGGAGACACCAUGAUCACGAAGGUGGUUUUCCCAGGGUGAGGCUUAUUCACUCAUUGCACUCUGGAUGUGCUGACCCCCACGAUUUCCCCAAAUGUGGGAACCUUGGCUGCGUAAUUUGUGGCAGUAAGAGUCUGCGUUCAUGCUCUCCCCUG